UGAUUGGACUAGAUUAACAGCCCCAAUCAGGGAUCCCUGGUUGACAGAUAAAAACAGGAGUGUUGCACCCCACUGACAGGGUGUUAGAAGGAUCUUGAGGAUUACUUUUGCACUUCUUGCAUUAUUGGAAAAUUCAUAUCACUCAUUGUGUCAAACAAGAAUUAUGUAGAGCAAUUCUUGGCCAUCUGCUCCCUGCAAGCUUCUGAAAGGUUUUUCAAAAAGCCUCUGUCUGGAAUAAAGCUGAAACCAUCAGCU